rnacentral:rRNA from 1 species
UACGAAGGGGCUAGCGUUGUUCGGAUUUACUGGGCGUAAAGCGCACGUAGGCGGGUCUUUAAGUCAGGGGUGAAAUCCUGGAGCUCAACUCCAGAACUGCCUUUGAUACUGAGGAUCUUGAGUUCGGGAGAGGUGAGUGGAACUGCGAGUGUAGAGGUGAAAUUCGUAGAUAUUCGCAAGAACACCAGUGGCGAAGGCGGCUCACUGGCCCGAUACUGACGCUGAGGCACGAAAGCGUGGGGAGCAAACAG